UUCCACGUUUUCCUCUCUUUCUCCAUCGACGCGGCUCUCUCUGCAGCGUUCUCCAUCGACGCGGCUCUCUCUGCAGUGUUCCUCUCCCUGCAACUCGCACCACUCCAUCCCGAUUUGAAUCCGAGCACCACUCCAUCAAGGCCGAAGUUCGUCGCACGAGCGAGCGAGAUCCGAGAUCCGAGCAAUCCGAGCACCACUCGGAGGUCCUCCUCUCGCGGAUCGGCGACGGCUCCGCUUCCUGCGACGGCGACGGCUUCGGCUCUCCGCCCAAGGUCCAAAGGAGGCUUCGCGCGUGAAUUAGGCAUAACGGGGUGCUUCAUCUGGGUUCGGAGCUCUCUCCUAUCCUGCCAUGGACUCCAGUAACGGCGCGUUGGUGAUAAUUGAACAGGGAUUCUCAUGUUGGGUGUUGCCCUUAGAGUGAUUAGUCUUGAGGCAGCUGGUGCAAAGUCAGGCCACGAUGUAAAAUCGACCCCAACCAUCCGUCCUCCUUGUUUGUUUGCAUUAGUUUGUGACAUUCAUUCCCUGUUUCCGCAACAAAUGGUCCACCUCCUAAGCCGUGGGAAAGAGCCGGGGUUCAUCAGGUCCUGCGCCAUUUAAGCCGCCAUCAUCUGGAAGCACUAGUGAUAUAGUGGAAGCUUCCGGAACAGCAAGACCCGGUGAAAUUGUUUCGACUACUGAUAGAACUAUUCCUGUCAAUGCAAAUUCUAUUGCCAGGCCGGUUCCCACCAGGCCAUGCGAGCAUCAAUCCUAUGGCAAUAUAACAUAAGAUGGUUCUCAGUUAAUCUUUUGAUAAUCAUUGCAGGAUAUAGUUCAUUGGUGAGGGUUUGGGUGGUUAGAAGACUCAGAACAGCCAAAUCGACUCGAGGGGGAAUUCGAGCCUAUUUUUCUGGGAUUUUUUCCCCUUCUUUUUCUUUAUUUUCUUUUUGUUUUAUUUUAUUCCCCCUUGCUUCUACGUUGCUUCUUCCUAAUCAUAACUAUGGAUUUGCUUCUUCUUUUAAUAAUUCAAGUCUUUCUCGUUUU